rnacentral:siRNA from 1 species
UCUCUGGUUUCAACUGCAAGGCCU